GACAUCAUAGUCCAUUCCCUUACUUCUGACGGGCCUGAAUCCUUGCUCAGCCUGAUGUAAAAAGGUGAGCAAAGUUUCAGGUGUGUUGGUGGUAAGGAGUUACAUCAUUCUUCAAG
rnacentral:precursor_RNA from 12 species